rnacentral:tRNA from 1 species
GACUUAAAAUCCGUCGACUUUAAAAAUCGUGAG